GACGAACGCUGGCGGCGUGCUUAACACAUGCAAGUCGAACGGAAAGGCCCUGCUUUUGUGGGGUGCUCGAGUGGCGAACGGGUGAGUAACACGUGAGUAACCUGCCCUUGACUUUGGGAUAACUUCAGGAAACUGGGGCUAAUACCGGAUAGGAGCUCCUGCUGCAUGGUGGGGGUCGGAAAGUUUCGGCGGUUGGGGAUGGACUCGCGGCUUAUCAGCUUGUUGGUGGGGUAGUGGCUUACCAAGGCUUUGACGGGUAGCCGGCCUGAGAGGGUGACCGGCCACAUUGGGACUGAGAUACGGCCCAGACUCCUACGGGAGGCAGCAGUGGGGAAUAUUGCACAAUGGGCGGAAGCCUGAUGCAGCAACGCCGCGUGCGGGAUGACGGCCUUCGGGUUGUAAACCGCUUUCGCCUGUGACGAAGCGUGAGUGACUGUAAUGGGUAAAGAAGCACCGGCUAACUACGUG
rnacentral:rRNA from 1 species